UGAGCCUGCGUUAGAUUAGCUAGUUGGUAGGGUAAAGGCCUACCAAGGCGACGAUCUAUAGCUGGUCUGAGAGGACGACCAGCCACACUGGAACUGAGACACGGCCCAGACUCCUACGGGAGGCAGCAGUGGGGAAUAUUGGACAAUGGGCGAAAGCCUGAUCCAGCAAUACCGCGUGUGUGAAGAAGGCCUUAGGGUUGUAAAGCACUUUCAAUUGGGAGGAAAACCUGCCGGUCAAUACCCGGUAGCUUGACAUUACCUUUAGAAGAAGCACCGGCUAACUCCGUGCCAGCAGCCGCGGUAAUACGGAGGGUGCGAGCGUUAAUCGGAAUUACUGGGCGUAAAGCGUGCGUAGGCGGUUCGUUAAGUCAGAUGUGAAAGCCCUGGGCUCAACCUGGGAACUGCAUUUGAAACUGGCGGACUAGAGUUUAGUAGAGGGGAGUGGAAUUUCAGGUGUAGCGGUGAAAUGCGUAGAUAUCUGAAGGAACACCAGUGGCGAAGGCGACUCC
rnacentral:rRNA from 1 species